rnacentral:misc_RNA from 1 species
UAAUAAGUGUUUUAUGGCACUUUUUAAAUCCAUAUCCACCUUGUGUGCAAUGUCAGUCGAUCUUCUUCAUGGAGAUCGACCAAACAUCAACCUUUAUCUUUUAACUCUUUGUCUGAAAAAUAUUAUGAAUAAACAAUUCAAAGUA